CACAAUGACCACGUUACUGAGUUAAUCUAUAUUGUUGUCUAAAUUAGGACAUAAAACUAGGAAGAAAUUCAUUGAACCUCAGGUCUAGCUCUCCUAUCACAGAAAAAUUGCUCGUUACCUAUCGAGUGAUGACCUGCCAUCUCCCAUUUGUUCCUUUUUGAAUCCUACCUGGCCCAGUGGGGAAGCCUGGAGGAUACCCUAGGACUGUGAACAAGGCUAUCACCAUUUUCUUUGUGUCACCUGAUAAAAGAUUUGCUCGUGCAUGAAUUGAAAUUGAAAAUAUAAAAACUGACUUUUUUUUUCUCUGUAGGCUGUCCUCUUCAGUAUUCAGAAGGGAACACAUUCUGGUGUUGUGAUGUGUAGAAGAGAAGGCAGUGAACAUGUGGAGUACAACCAAGUUGUAGUGACUUUGCUGUGAAUUGCACAAGCAGUGAAGUAUUUUGUGGAUGUUGCUGACCCACUGGACUUAUAUGAGGAAAUACUGCCUGAGCCAGAAACAGCUGUCAAGCCUCUCACUUUUGUUCUUUAACUGCAAGACUAUCCUUUGCCUAAAUAUCAGAGAAACCUGCAAAACAAGAAUUGCAAGCUUCAUUAAGAUAUAAUGAGCCAAAUUAAUUCUUGAGGUAAGUACAAAAAACAAAUGCUGUUAAAAGAGACUUAUUAUCUGCUGGUGGAAGAUUUCAUCCACUAUAACAAAAAAUAGCUUAAAAUAUCCUUUAUCAUAAGAAAAUUGGAACUGUAUUUGAGGCAGUAGACUUACAGAGGAUGAUCAAGUGAUUUGUCACCAGCAAUAACUCUUUGUGAGUAAUGCAUUUUCACUCAUAGUUGCACCCUGUUCCCAUUUCAGCUUAGGGAGAGUCCAUUAUAUGAUUUGAAAUAAAUAAAACAGUUUUGAUUUCUUCA
rnacentral:lncRNA from 1 species